rnacentral:rRNA from 1 species
GAUGAACGCUAGCUACAGGCUUAACACAUGCAAGUCGAGGGGAAACGGCAUUAAGUGCUUGCACUUUUUGGACGUCGACCGGCGCACGGGUGAGUAACGCGUAUCCAACCUUCCCAUGACUAAUGGAUAACCUGCCGAAAGGCAGACUAAUACCUUAUGGUCUUCACUGACGGCAUCAGAUGUGAAGUAAAGUUUUAUCGGUUAUGGCUGGGGAUGCGUCUGAUUAGCUUGUUGGCGGGGUAACGGCCCACCAAGGCAACGAUCAGUAGGGGUUCUGAGAGGAAGGGCCCCCACAUGGGAACUGAGACACGGUCCAAACACCUACGGGAGGCAGCAGUGAGGAAUAUUGGUCAAGGGGCGAGAGCAUGAACCAGCCAAGUAGGGUGCAGGAUGACGGCCAUAUGGAUUGUAAACUGCUUGUGGAUGGGGAUAAAGUCAAUCACGUGUGACUGUUUGCAGGUACCAUACGAAUAAGGACCGGCUAAUUCCGUG